rnacentral:ncRNA from 2 species
GAUUUAUAAAGAAGCGCCGAGAGAACAGGCUCUAUGACGCGCUAGCAACCUCGAAAAGGUGCUAAAGCCUGCCCGGAAGAAGGUCUUUCGGGAACGAUAAACC